GACGAACGCUGGCGGCGUGCCUAAUACAUGCAAGUAGAACGCAGUUACGAACGGGUGAGUAACGCGUAGGUAACCUGCCUCAUAGCGGGGGAUAACUAUUGGAAACGCUAGCUAAUACCGCAUACUGUGAGAUGGACCUGCGUUGUAUUAGCUAGUUGGUGAGGUAAAGGCUCACCAAGGCGAAGAUCCAUAGCCGACCUGAGAGGGUGAUUGGCCACACUGGGACUGAGGCAAGGCCCAGACUCCUACGGGAGGGAGCAAGAGGGAAUCUUCGGGAAUGGAAGGAAGUCUGACCGGUGAAAGCCGCGUGGAUGAAGAAGGGUUUCGGAUCGUAAAACUCUGUUGUUAGGGGAUCGGUAACUAACCAGAAAGGGACGGCUAACUACGUGCCAGCAGCCGCGGUAAUUC
rnacentral:rRNA from 1 species